rnacentral:rRNA from 1 species
AGUGAACGCUGGCGGUAGGCCUAACACAUGCAAGUCGAACGGCAGCACAGGAGAGCUUGCUCUCUGGGUGGCGAGUGGCGGACGGGUGAGGAAUACAUCGGAAUCUACUUUUUCGUGGGGGAUAACGUAGGGAAACUUACGCUAAUACCGCAUACGACCUACGGGUGAAAGCAGGGGACCUUCGGGCCUUGCGCGAUUGAAUGAGCCGAUGUCGGAUUAGCUAGUUGGCGGGUUAAAGGCCCACCAAGGCGACGAUCCGUAGCUGGUCUGAGGGGAGGAUCCCCCACAGUGGAAUAGACGCACGGUCAGGACGCCUACGGGAGGCAGCAGUGGGAAAUAGUGAAAAAUGGGCGAAAGCCUGUCCAAGCCAUACCGGGUGGGUGAAGAAGGCCUUGGGGUUUUAAAGCCCUUUUGUUGGGAAAGAAAUCCAGCUGGCAAAUACCCGUUGGGGAUGACGGUACCAAAAGAAUAAGCACCGGCAAACUUCGUGCCAGCAGCCGCCGUAA